UGACGAAUAAGAAACGAAAGUUUUGCUUUAAUAGAUUACUGUUUCCUCAUUUAGAAUAUUUUGAUAUAUUCUUGUUAAAAUAUAUCAAAGAGAGUGAGUUUUUUGCGUCGAGUAUUUCAAGAAUAACUUUUUCGUUUUUAAAUGAAGAAAUCAAUGAUAGAACUUAGUUUAUUUGAGCAAUGUCUUUGGAAAAUAGGUGAACUAUUUAUUGUCCAAUGUCAGCAGGAAAAUUUAAAAUGAUCAUGAUAAAAUUUAUUCUGAAAACGUGGUUACUUUUAUCAAGACAAAAAUUUUAUAUUUCAAAUAUCAGGAAAGUUGGAAUAUUUUAAAAAAGUUUUGAAGUAGUAGAAAAUGUUUAAAGAAUUAAAUUGAAGAGAAAAUAGAAACAACUUAUUCAAACAUGUAUCAUGUUUUUGUUUCUUAAAAAAAAUAAAAGAAUGAGACACGGAGGUGACGCAACAAAAAUGACUGCUUUAAUUUGCAGAAGAAUUGCGCUAUAAUAUACAGUUUGUCUGUCCAUCCGUUGAGCUGGUCAAGAUGUCAUCCUUCUGCGGGAAAUAUAAAUUUGUAUCUAGCGAAAAUUUCGACGAAUUUCUUCAAGCUUGUGGUAAGUUUUUGUUUUUUUAUUUGUCUUUUCUUUCUUUAUCUAAUUUUUCAAAUCCUUUUCUUGAUAUUAAAUUUCAAAAAAUAUGUUUUUAAUACACAAGAAAACAUUACAAAAUUUCCUCUUUAAUAAAUUUGUUUAUCAUAUUCAAAUGUUUUUAUGCUCUUAAUAUGUUAAAAAAUAUUAUCUAUUUUUAAUGAGAGGUUCUUUUACUGACUAAUAGGGUCAAAUUUAGCCGGGGCAUCAUAUCUAGGGCAACCUCAAAAACAUUUUUUAUACAAAAAGUUCUGAAGUUCCCGUUAAACUUUUUUAUAUAUACAACGCUUUAUAAAUUAUUUAUUCUGUUGCAUUUCUUCUUCAUUAAGAAAUGAACUUUUAUUUUAUUUAUAUAUUUUUUGCUUCCGGAAGGUAUCUCGGGCCUCUCUCGACUUUUGAGAAGUCCUGCAAUAAUUUUUUGCAUAAUAAUCAGAAAU